AUUGUCUUCAGUGGCCAAAGGGCAGUGGCGAAUUGUCUGCGGCGAAUCUGCUGUGGCGAAUGGUCCCAUCCCGCUCAGCCCAUUGGCCCACCUGGUCAAGAUCCUGUUGUAAUCUGAGGUGUUGGCUCAUAGCAAUCACAAAUGAAUCAAAUCUGCUGUUACAAAGUUGUUGAGAAUUUAAGAAAACGAACAGAUAUGGACAGAACACUGCAAAAGCACCCAAGUGGAGCAUUUUCCUGAAACUGAUCUAAUAUUUCAUUAAAAUUGCCCUUUGAAUAAUUGUGCAUUUGUGUUUGAGUAAGCAAAUAUUUCCUGUUAUUUGCUAAUAAAAGGUUAAUUAGUUCCUGUUUUUCCCCCAAGAGCCUACGGUUUGCUUACGAUUGUGAUUUUUCACUAUUUGCUUCAUAAAUUCUAUAUGCUUUCAAUUUUACUGUACCCAAGUGAUGGUCACUGCACUGCUUGCAAUGAAAGAGCUUUUAAUUGGGCAAAAUUAAAUCAGAAUCUGCUAUACAAAAAUAAAUCAUACAAUUGCCCAGUCUUUUGACUAAAAUUAAGGUGAGAUUGUGUUGGGACGCAGUCUGAACCAUACUGUGAAGUUCCAACAAGCAAGCAAAAUUGGACAGUAAAAUAUUAAUAUGCCAUAUUAAAUAUAUUCCUGCAAAUACAUGUUGUAGACUGACCAUGCUGUGUGAGCAAGUGAAAUUUAAAAAGUUGAAAUCUGCUGCUUUCUACAGGAUUUUACUGAAGUUCCUUGUAUUACACACUCAAGUGAAGAUUCAGUGUGAUGCUGAUAAAAUUUAGUAAAUUACCUGAUUUUAACUGUAUAACUAUAAUUCUGCUGGUACCUAUGACUUGAUGUUAUAAUAGAGAUUAAUUGUUGAAUAUUCCAGAAAUAUCCAAAACUGGUAUGAUUAAUAAGUUAAGCACUUCAAUAGUAUUCUUUUAUUCAGUGAAUAUUAAUUUGAUAACAUUAAUUUUAGCAGGAAUAUUAAUUUGAUAACAUACUGAGGUAGCCAUGAUAUGGAGGUGCCAGUGUUGGACUGGGGUGGACAAAGUUAAAAAUCACACAACACCAGGUUAUAAUCCAACUGAGGUAGAACACUGUCUAUUGAGUCCAUGCUCAGAAUCUUGGCUGGGAGGACAAUCUUGAUAUUCUCCAGCAGCUGUCCAGAUUAUUCUGAAAUGCUUGUUUGAAGAGCUGAUGCAGGCCUCCUCCUGUACCUAACAAUUCUAUAAUGUGUUUGGAUAGUCUUGACUCAAUUGUCAUUGAGCU